GACCUAAAUUAAACUUAGUCAUAAAUAUUCCCGAACCCGCUAAGCUAACUAGGAAUGCUUGACCCGGUUAAUAAAAGGGAAUAUGGAUUGUAAAUAAGUAGGUUAUAAUCAACUUAAUAACUAACGAAACAUGAAGGACCAAAGUUGGAUAAUUGGAAAUAAGGUUUAUUUACUAAAAACAAAAAUAAAAACACACCACACCUAGUGUGUGCGUGUGUGAGGUCGACCAGGAGAAAGCUCAGGGAGCUCAAACCCUAACUUCCACAACUUGAUCAAAUUGAAGCCCAAAUCAAGAGCCAAAUCACUGCAUGAACACAAAUUCGUGAUCACCUAAUCAUGGGGAUUACAAGUUUGACGCGUCACAAGCUAGGUGGAAGCUUGGAGUGAAAGCGGGUCAAACAAGGCAAGCAUGGAAGAAAGGCGUAGCUCGGAUGCAAGGUACUUGUGGAAGCCGGAAGACGAUCAAGCUCAACGAAGAACCGAACACGAUACAGUUACAUGCUUCCGCACUUCGCCACGUUGUAAAUUUUAAACAACGAACUUCGAUCACGUUGUGUAGAAUAAUUUAUAAUUUGUAAAAGUUUUAAAUAAACCCGCAUUUAUAUAA